UACGUAGGCAGCAAGCGUUGUUCGGAGUUACUGGGCGUAAAGAGUGCGUAGGCGGUUUUCUAAGUUUGGUGUGAAAUCUCCCGGCUUAACUGGGAGGGUGCGCCGAAAACUGGAAGGCUUGAGUGUGGCAGAGGAAGGUGGAAUUCCAGGUGUAGCGGUGAAAUGCGUAGAGAUCUGGAGGAACACCGAUGGCGAAGGCAGCCUUCUGGGCCAACACUGACGCUCAUGCACGAAAGCGUGGGGAGCAAACAGG
rnacentral:rRNA from 1 species